UACGUAGGUGGCAAGCGUUAUCCGGAAUUACUGGGCGUAAAGCGCACGCAGGCGGUCUUUUAAGUUUGACGUGAAAGCUCCCGGCUUAACUGGGAGAGGUCGUUGAAGACUGGAAGACUUGAGGCAAUGAGAGGGGUGUAGAAUUCCCGGUGUAGUGGUGGAAUGCGUAGAUAUCGGGGGGAAUACCAGUGGCGAAAGCGGCACCCCAGCGUUAGCCUGACGCUCAUGUGCGAAAGCGUGGGGAGCGAACGGG
rnacentral:rRNA from 1 species